GAGGAAUAUUGCACAAUGGGCGCAAGCCUGAUGCAGCGACGCCGCGUGUGGGAUGAAGGGGCUACGCCUCGUAAACCACUGUAGCCCGGGACGAAAAACGCCUUAGAGGCGUUAGACGGUACCGGGAAAGUAAGGGUCGGCUAACUACGUGCCAGCAGCCGCGGUAAUACGUAGGACCCAAGCGUUGUCCGUAUUUACUGGGUGUAAAGGGUGCUCAGGCGGAUUUGUAAGUCAGAGGUGAAAUCUUACAGCUUAACUGUGAAACUGCCUUGGAUACUGCAAGCCUAGAGUAUGGAAGAGAGUGAUGGAAUAUCUGGUGUAGCAGUGAAAUGCGUAGAUAUCAGAUAGAACACCAAUGGCGAAGGCAGUCACUUGGUCCAUUACUGACGCUAAAGCACGAAAGCGUGGGUAGCAAACA
rnacentral:rRNA from 1 species